rnacentral:rRNA from 1 species
GAUGAACGCUGGCGGCGUGCUUAACACAUGCAAGUCGAACGAAGCACUUCAAUCGAUUUCUUCGGAAUGAAGUUUUAGUGACUGAGUGGCGGACGGGUGAGUAACGCGUGGGUAACCUGCCUCACACAGGGGGAUAACAGUUGGAAACGGCUGCUAAUACCGCAUAAGCGCACAGUACCGCAUGGUACAGUGUGAAAAACUCCGGUGGUGUGAGAUGGACCCGCGUCUGAUUAGCUAGUUGGCAGGGCAACGGCCUACCAAGGCGACGAUCAGUAGCCGACCUGAGAGGGUGACCGGCCACAUUGGGACUGAGACACGGCCCAAACUCCUACGGGAGGCAGCAGUGGGGAAUAUUGCACAAUGGGGGAAACCCUGAUGCAGCGACGCCGCGUGAGCGAAGAAGUAUUUCGGUAUGUAAAGCUCUAUCAGCAGGGAAGAAGAAAUGACGGUAC